CAGAGCUGUGCAUUGUGGGAGUUGUAGUUUUCCAUACAAAUGCUCCCUAAAGUCACAUUCUGUCUUUUCUCUGUCAAACAGACACCAAAUUCUAAAUGUAUAUUACAUUUCGACUACAAAUAUGACCCACAUUCAAUAAAUAUUAAUGUUUCUACAGAUUAAAUGUUCCUUUAAGUUCAAACCGGUAGACAAGGAAGGAGAGUCAUCUCUGAUGAGUUUAGGGCUACACUUGUUGAUCAUGUGAUUAACCACAGUUUAACCAUGAGAGAGGCUGGACUGACAGUCCAACUUGAGUCAAUUUACAGUGGCGUCCAUCAUCUGAACCUUCAGAAAUGAGAACAGAGUGGAAAGGCAAAGACAACAUGGAAGACGAGGACACUUGUUUACAGAUGUACAAGAGACUAGAAUUUUAAAUAUGGUUUUGUCCAACAAUGCAAUUAGGAUUCGAGAGAUAAGAGAGCAUAUCUUGAAUAAUGACACCAAAUUUGACAACAUCAAUGCUGUAAGCCUGUCGACCAUACAACGCAUCCUCCAAUAGUGAUGAUGAAACAACUUUACAAGGUGCCAGUUGAAAGAAACUCGGACAGAGUCAAGAAUCUGCGACAUGACUUUGUAGAGGCACCACAGAAGAAAUGUAAUAGGACAGAGGGCAAUUUCCAAUGUCCCUGGACAGCUGUGAGCCUAUGGGGUGCUGCCAUCACUUAAAACUGGGUCCUCCACCACAAUGCCACACUGGGUCUGUACAACACCUGCCAAAUGCUAAUUUUUCUUGAUGCAAUUUACAGAAUGCUUGUCCCUGAUUCAGAUCAGGAGCCUGCUAGAUUUGUGGUUACAUCGGACUAUGUUAGUUUUCACUGGGCUAUUCUGGUCAAAUGCUAAUUUUUCUUGAUGCAUUUUACAGAAUGCUUGUCCCUGAUUCAGAUCAGGAUCCUGCUAGAUUUGUGGUAACAUCGGACUAUGUUAUUUUUCACUGGGCUAUUCUGGUCCAAAACUGAUUUGCCACCCAUUCACAAUUUGAAGUUUUGUACCAACCCCCAUUUCUAAAUCCGGUGGAAAGUAUAUCAUCGCCAAAACCUAUGUCCUGCAUGGCACUUCUCCAGGCAGUUGAGGACAUAGAGGUUGCCUCUGUCCAAGGUUGGUUUUGCCAUGCUAGGAGAUACUUCCCUCAGUGUUUGGCAAGAGGAAACGUAUCUUGUGAUGUGGAAGAAGUAUUGUGGCCAGACCCAGCCCGAAGAAGAGAUAAAGCGUAGUGACUGCCCUCCCCCCAUCAAUUCCUGGACUGCUCCCCCGGGACCCCCCCACAUACACAAUUGCGUUCUUUACUGUAUUUUAAAGAAUAUACUUUUGGUUUACAUGUAUUUGAUUUUGUUGUAUGCUACUCUAUACAACAAUAACGUCUGGCCACUCUACUGAAAUGUAGAUAUAAGCCUAUGAAAGACCAAAGAGCUUUAGAUUUGGAACAACAGUGUUUUCAUGGUUUAUCCAAACAUUUACUAUUAUGAAAGUGUUUGGCAUUUGAUGCAAAUGCUUUAUUCUGACAUGUGUUUAUGGCAUUUUGAAUGCAGUGUUACAUUUUGAAGGAGAGUUUUGAAGAAAAGUGACAUAGUUUUGAAAACGUGUGUAAGCAAAAACUGUAAUCUCAAACUGGUCAAUUCCCCAUCACCAGAUCUGAAUCCAACAGAACAACUUUGGGAGUUUUAUUUCGGCAUGCAUGUAAAAAACUGACAAAUCUUUAGAAACUGCAUAAUGUAAUCAUGUCAACAUAGACCAGAAUCUCAAAUAAAUGCUUCCAACAUCUUAUAUGGAAUGCUUGUCUUGAAGAAUAGAAGCUGUUUAAAGAGCAAAAGGAGGCUAUACUCCGAAAAACCACCUAACAUCAACCUCACUGUAAAAUUAAUGUUAAUGAC